GACGAACGCUGGCGGCGUGCUUAACACAUGCAAGUCGAACGCUGAAGCUUGGUGCUUGCACUGGGUGGAUGAGUGGCGAACGGGUGAGUAAUACGUGAGUAACCUGCCCUUGACUCUGGGAUAAGCCUGGGAAACUGGGUCUAAUACUGGAUACGACAUGUCACCGCAUGGUGGUGUGUGGAAAGGGUUUUACUGGUUUUGGAUGGGCUCACGGCCUAUCAGCUUGUUGGUGGGGUAAUGGCUCACCAAGGCGACGACGGGUAGCCGGCCUGAGAGGGUGACCGGCCACACUGGGACUGAGACACGGCCCAGACUCCUACGGGAGGCAGCAGUGGGGAAUACUGCACAAUGGGCGGAAGCCUGAUGCAGCGACGCCGCGUGAGGGAUGACGGCCUUCGGGUUGAAAACCUCUUUCAGCACGGAAGAAGCGAAAGUGACGGUACGUGCAGAAGAAGCGCCGGCUAACUACGUG
rnacentral:rRNA from 1 species